AUUGAUUAACUUUAAGUGAUCAGCAAAAAUGAAACAAUAACUGAGUUUAAUUAAAAUAUAAAAUCAAAUUCCAUCAUUUAUGCUUCUUUAAACUAGCAGGUAUUGAAGCAAGAGAGUUUUUCACAAAAGAGCUUACAUUUCUCAUAGAGCUUCUUCUGAAAAACUAACCUAUAAAGCAUGGAAUUGUUAUCAGAUACAAUUAUUUUCUAUAGAAUUCACAAAAUUGCUUACAGUCUGGUUGAUGCAAUUUGUAGAUUGGAGUUGAGGAGGGAUGCCAACUGAAAGGGGAUCGGACCGGUUAAUACACGAGUGCGACGUUUCUGAACAAUCUGCCAUUUCUAAGGCAAAUUGAGAAAGCCCAUAUGCCUAGUAGAUGCAUAAUGAUGAGUUAUCGUCUGUGGUGGUUGUCCGUGAUCAUGGGUCCCACCACCGACGCUGGAAAAAGGGCCUAAAAGCUAUCUCUGCGUUGUCUUCGAAUGGGCAACCUGCUGAUUUCGAUUCUAUGAAUUAUGGGCAAUUGUGGACCAUGGAAAGGAGCUCCUUGGUGU
rnacentral:lncRNA from 1 species